CGCUUGGUUGACUUCUAUUAAGUGUUGCUUUUAAUUCUGACUCAUAAUCAUUCAUGAAAGAAGCUGUUAUCUAAUCCUCAUUCUAACAGAGUCAUCUCUGACUUUUUCAGUUCACAAGUUAGAGAUUAAGUUGUUCUCACCAAUCCGGGGGAUCUGCCUCGCCAGUGUCCAGAGGAGUGUGAACUACAAUACAAUGUCUUCUCAAAAGGAGAAGUCUUGAAAGCUGGAAAGUCUAAGAUUAUGGUGCUGGAGGAUUCAGUGUCUGGUGAAGACCCUCUCUGAGUUGUAGACUGCUGACUUCUCUCCGUUCCCUCUCUGUGAAAGGAUGGUUGAGAUUGCCAGAUGGUGUAUACUUUUUUUUAGGGGGGCGGAGGGACGACACCUUCACACCUUCACAAGGGGAAUUUAUUCUCUGCUUCUAGAAGAGUGCUGUUAUUUUGAGACAAGAGCAGACAACAUAACCUUUUAGGAAAGCUUGCAGGUCUGGCCUUCAGCAACAGGGAGAUUGGGUUUAGUCCCAAACCUACCACUUUCGAGGUAGGAGGACCAGGCUAAUUCACUGAGACACCUCCAGACACAUGGGGAAGAAACACCAACUAUGAGCCUUAAAAUCAG